AUACGUAGGUGGCAAGCGUUGUCCGGAUUUAUUGGGCGUAAAGCGAGCGCAGGCGGUUUCUUAAGUCUGAUGUGAAAGCCCCCGGCUCAACCGGGGAGGGUCAUUGGAAACUGGGGGACUUGAGUGCAGAAGAGGAGAGUGGAAUUCCAUGUGUAGCGGUGAAAUGCGUAGAUAUAUGGAGGAACACCAGUGGCGAAGGCGGCUCUCUGGUCUGUAACUGACGCUGAGGCGCGAAAGCGUGGGGAGCAAACAGGAUUAGAUACCCUGGUAGUCCACGCCGUAAACGAUGAGUGCUAAGUGUUGGAGGGUUUCCGCCCUUCAGUGCUGCAGUAAACGCAUUAAGCACUCCGCCUGGGGAGUACGACCGCAAGGUUGAAACUUAAAGGAAUUGACGGGG
rnacentral:rRNA from 1 species